ensembl:lncRNA
CAGCAAUUCUACCGAAUCAAAUCAAGUUGUACAACAGAUGUGUAUACUCUACAACAUGUGGGAUCCUAAUCUUCUCUGUAAGAUUUUGCAGCUACUGUUUUUGAUUCGAAGGCCAUAUGGAGGAUUGUGCUAUUGUCAUACCAGAGGUGCACUUACUCACAAUCCUCCAUUUUCAGUGUAAAUCAAAAGGAAGAAAAAGGCCAUUAUCCAAAGAUCAUCAUUGAAUACAAAAGAUAAAAUGAGUUAAAUUGCCAUUUACAAAACCUAAGAUGAGGAGUCCAGGUUUUGUCACCUCCUCAGGUCCUCAGUCUUGCAGUCUGAACCCAGUUACCUCUCUGCUACACCCACCUCACCUGCUCCCGUUCUCCCUACCAGCUCAACUUCAUAUACUCCAGCCAUCGUACCUUUGUUUGCUGCCUCACUCCUGUAAACAUCAGAAGUGCUGGGAUUCUCUGAUCUUACUAUAUAAAGUACUCUGAGAUGACUUGAAUUGGAUCCUGGUUCCUGCAAUAAUAUUUGUUUAUGUUGUCUGUUCUCUGCCUGUCUUUCUACCAACCUGUCAGACUAUUUUUACCUGUCUGCUGGGUGAGUCUGCACUCAGGUCCUCCUCUCUGCUUUUGUGACACAACUAAAUCCAAUCAAAGAGCCCACAAAAUAGCAAAUUUAGCAUCCCUACAGUGCUUACCUGUAUGUUCGAGAUUUGAAUUGAUGUUUUUAAUGAUUGCCUGUCUGCCUCGAUGCAGCUUUUAAUUAUCUGUCAGACCUCUGCUAGCACUGUGCCUAUGAAGAGCAUUCAAGUCUUUAAUGAAAAAUAAGUGAUUGCAUAGAUUUUCACCACCUUUCAGUCAGUUAGUGCUAGAAGUCUCAAAGUUAGUGAAAUGGAAUUCAUCUGAGUGCAGUGAAUGUGGCCCAAGUGAUUGCAGUAUAAAGACAGCUGUACAUGGAAGGUCCAGUCACUGAUAAAUCAGUACUUCUCACUAUGACUACAUCAUGAAAACAACCCCUCCAAGCAACUCUGUGAAAAGAUUAUUGCAAAUCAAAAGUCAAGAGAUGGAGAAAAGAAAAUUUCCAGGUCACCAAAUAUUCCUUAGAGUACAGUUAAACCCAUAAUUUAGAAAUAGAAGGAAUAUGGCACAUGUGUAAAUGUGCCUAAAGCAGGUCGUCCUCAAAAACUGAGUGACUGAACAAGAAAGAAGCGAGUGCAGGAGGCCACCAAGACACCUGUGACUCUUCUGAAGGAGUUACAAGCUUCAGUGGCUGAUGUGAGAGACUGUGUAUACAGCAACUGUUGUCUCUUUUUCAACAGUCAAAGAUUUAUGGAUGAGUGACAAAGCAAAAAUCACCAAGAUCAUAUAAAAUCUGGGCUAGAGGUCUCCAGAAGGCAUAUGAGAGACUCUUAAAUCAACAGGAAGAACGUUCGUUGGCCUGAUGAUGAUGACCAAAACUGAGCUUUUUAGGCAUCAGACUAGACUCAUCAUUUGGUAGACACCAAACACUACACAUCAUCACAAACACAACAUCCCCACCAUGAAGCACGGUGGUGGCAGCAUCAUGAUGUGGGCAUACUUCCCAGCAGCAGACCCUGGAAGGCUUGUAAAGGUAGAGAGUAAAAUGAAUGCAGCAAAGUGUAGGGAAACCUGAUUCAGUCUGCAAGAGAACUGUGACUUAGGAAGGAGAAGGUCUGUUUUCGACAAGACAAUGACCUGAAGCAUACAGAUAAACUACAUAGAAAUGCUUUAAAGACAACAAGGGGAAUGGUUUGGAGUCAAUUCAACUGAGAAUCUGUGGCUGGACUUUAAAAGGGUUGCUCACUCCUGAUCCCUGUGAUACCUGACAGAGCUUGAACAGUUUUGCAAAGAAGAAUUAAGUAAAUAUGCAGCAUCCAGACUCAGAUUCAGGUUGAUUUAUGUCUAUACACACAGGCACGAUGCUGGACUUGCCCCUAAGGGUGCAUCUACUAAAUACUGACUUGAAGGGGGUGAAUAUUUAUGCAAUGGCAUAUUUUGCUCCUUUUUUAAUGUUUUAAUUAAUUGAUAUUACUUUGUAGAACUCUGUUUUCAGUUUAACAUGAAUCAAUUGAACAACCUGCUUUAUGAGAUCAGACAGGCAGCUGUUUUUUUUAAAUAUCUGUUCAAACCCAACUUUUCAGAGUUAUUUCUGUUUUUACUCUGCUUUUAUUAAUUUAUGUCUGAUUGUUACUAUUUUCUUUCUAGUGAAAUUGCAGGCGUUGGAAGUCUAGAUUUGAAGUCUAACUAGGUUUGAGCAAAAUUGUACAGCGUUUCUGUUUUCGUUCUGCAAUAGAGAUCUCCGAAAGGAUGAUGAUGUUGCUGUGUCUGCUGGAUGUGUACAUUACACAGGCGACUGUUUGUGGUGUGAGUGUGUGUGUGUGUGUGUGUGUGUGUGUGUGUGUGUGUGUGUGUGUGUGUUGUGCAGCUGUUAAGGAUUGAGGAGCUGUAAAAUCUCCUUUUGGCUGGGAGCCACCCCAUCCGUCAUGACCUGAGUGUCAGUGCGAUUAUAUGAUUAUGCAAUCAGUGCAAUCCCACAAUCCACAGUCAGUUGCUCUGACCCAGGACACAGAGCAGCUAAACCUUUUUUUUUUUUGGCUGCAGGGAUUGGGUAGAUCAGGGAGGAUUUGACAGCUCUAUUGUCAGUUUUUCUGAACAAUGCACAUUCACAAUAUAACACAUUCAGCAUGGCAUCAAACAAAUUAGACACAUUUUAUUUUACAUCAACUCAGGAUUCUCAGCCUGAGUGAGAGAAAACCCCCAGAUAUCUGUGUAGUGUGCUUUGGGCUCAUUUAGAUUAGAUUAUACAAUUUUGACAGAGUAUCCAGAAAUCAGGUUCCUUUAGAACAGUAUGGUUCAUGGAUAUAGUUUACAGGUUUGUUGAACUCCUACUUCUAUGAAAACAUUGUGCAGCACAUAGUAAUUUAACAAGUACCUCAAUAGUGACAGAGAAGGUGACAAACUACCAUUUAAUGUGUAUGCACUUUAUUAAAAAAUAAGGAGCUUAUGCUGCUGUGUUAUUGGUAUCUCUGCGCUUUGAAAUAAUAAUAUAGUUUGUCAAAUUGGGCUGAAAAUGGACUGCUGCCACUCCAAAUGGCUGGCGAGUAUUAAGAGGCUAUUAAACAUACUGAUGAGUGAAAAAAAAAAAAAA